AUGCUUACUUCAGCAGCACAUAUGCUAAAAUUGGAAUGAUACAGUGAAUAUUAGCAUGUCCCCUGUACAAGGAUGACACACAAAUUUGUGAAGCAUUUCAUAUUUAA
ensembl:snRNA U6 U6 spliceosomal RNA